rnacentral:rRNA from 1 species
AGAGUUUGAUCAUGGCUCAGGAUGAACGCUAGCGGGAGGCUUAACACAUGCAAGUCGAGGGGUAUAAGUAGCAAUACUUAGAGACCGGCGCACGGGUGAGUAACGCGUAUGCAACCUGCCUGUUACAGGGGGAUAGCCCGUAGAAAUGCGGAUUAAUACCCCAUAGUACUGAGAAGUCGCAUGAUUUUUCAGUCAAAGUUUCGGUGGUAACAGAUGGGCAUGCGUGACAUUAGCUAGUUGGAGAGGUAACGGCUCACCAAGACUACGAUGUCUAGGGGUUCUGAGAGGAAGAUCCCCCACACUGGUACUGAGACACGGACCAGACUCCUACGGGAGGCAGCAGUGAGGAAUAUUGGUCAAUGGGCGAGAGCCUGAACCAGCCAUCCCGCGUGCAGGAAGAAUGCCCUAUGGGUUGUAAACUGCUUUUUCGCAUGAAGAACAUUCCGGUCGUGACCGGGACUGACGGUAAUGCGUGAAUAAGCACCGGCUAACUCCGUGCCAGCAGCCGCGGUAAUACGGAGGGUGCAAGCGUUAUCCGGAUUUAUUGGGUUUAAAGGGUGCGUAGGCGGCAAUUUAAGUCAGUGGUGAAAUCCUGCAGCUCAACUGUAGAACAGCCAUUGGAACUGAAUUACUUGAGUGAUCUUGAGGUAGGCGGAAUGUGUAGUGUAGCGGUGAAAUGCUUAGAUAUUACACAGAACACCGAUUGCGAAGGCAGCUUACUAAGGAUUUACUGACGCUGAUGCACGAAAGCGUGGGGAUCAAACAGGAUUAGAUACCCUGGUAGUCCACGCUGUAAACGAUGAUAACUCGCUGUUGGCGAUAUACAGUCAGCGGCUUAGCGAAAGCGUUAAGUUAUCCACCUGGGGAGUACGCUCGCAAGACUAAAACUCAAAUGAAUUGACGG